AAAAAAAAAAACGCACUGUUUUAUUUUUUGGUUGUGGUUUUCUUUUCUCAAUUCGUUUUCACUUUUCUCAUACUCACAAUUCUCACUGCAACACCGAUCUGCACCGUGAAUAUCAUUCUUAUCAAGGUCAAUUGCAAGACCAAUAUCAGCACUUGGUUAGUGAUUUGGGAAAUGUAAUUGGGUUGCCGCUACAAAGUGUGUAAAGAUCUUGCGGUAAUUCAGCGAAUCCACUGAAAGUAUAGCUGUCUUAAAGGUUGAUUUGGCUGAUGCAAAGAAGCGUCUUAGCGCCCGCAAUAAACAAUUGCAUCAGUUGUGGUAUCAAUCAGUAGCGCUGCAUCACAUAAUUUUCCUGUUAGAUCAAUUUGAGGGCACAGCUAAGAGUUGCAGUUGCAUAUCAUCUCCCUACAAACAUGCAGACAUUUUUUGAGGCGCGGUGGUGUGUGGUUUUGGAGUUUUGAGAUUGUGGAAAUGUGAGGUUUGAAGAUUGGAGUAGAAGAAGCUCUUUGAUGAGGAAUGUAAAUGAGAUAACCAUACAAAUUCUAUGUUGAUGGAAAAUGGGGAUAUGAUGAAUCUGAACAUCAUGAGACUAGUGAUUAUGGGAUUGUGAACACACUACAUCUGUCUACGGAUGACAUGGAUGUUGAUAAUGAUGCCUUUUCGGCAUGUGGCUAAGCAUUCUUUGUAGGUGGUGAGUUUUGAUUUUUUUUGAAGAGCCGUGUGUUUGGCUUGAGCACAGUCAAAAUAUCGCAUGCCUUGGGUUAUAGAUGAUGUCGAGGGGAGAUAUAUUUCAUUGCAACAAAGUUUUAGCUUGGUUGCAUAUCUUCAUGAGGAAUUCGUUAUCAUUUAAUUAGUAUUUGAGUGAAUAGAUUCAAACUUGUAUUAUGUAUAUGAUAUUGAACUUGGGUAUUAUUUUCCCUUAUUUGUAGUUAUUGAUUGAGCAGUUGUUAUG